CGCCGCAGCGUCAAGGCAAAAGUGCCCGAUUGACGAUUCAUUAAUGAGGCGUCGAGAGGAAUGGAGCGUCGUCGGUCGGCGGCAGCGCCGACGCGCCGGAUAUUUGUGCUCUCUUGUGCGUUCCACGGCCGAAGAGACGUCGCCGAGCGUCGGGCCGACUGUCAUGCCGAGUGUCGACCGUCGACAGCCACGCCAGAGCAGGCGAGCGAGCACGUGUCUGAGGGUGCCACCACGAUGCCGCCGGAGGUGGAGGAAGCAUCGCGCCCCCUCGGCCUCCUGCGUCGGGGAGGAGGCAGACCAGAAAUAGCAGCUAACUUGGGCGCAUCCAUCCCGACGACGCUGCGCUGCUCUCGCACCGUCUAGUGGAAAGAGGCAGGUGCUUUCGCGCCGCUCCAAAACGCUCCGCUGCACCUGACGCUAGGAGCCGGCCGGCAGGGUGACCUUUUUAGGUCUUUGGCUGUCGUCUGCAAGCUGGAGAAGACCCGCGCUGACGUGACUAUGUGCUCAAGCGAGUUGCACCGACGUGUCAAUGAUCUAAUAACAAGUCCCCGCGGCCGGCCCAGCCCCACUGCCCGACGCGUGUUUGCUCCAGCACUCAACGCACGCGUGAUAAAUAUCCAGUCUUACGGGCUCGGCAGCCCUCAUCCUCACGCUCAAUGAACCCCCUUCUCCACGUUCGCCGUCUGCUGCGUCAGGGUGGAUGAUCAGGGUUCUCCACUAUCAACCGCACACUCUCCUACUCCACCUCCUCCUCCUCCUCUCUUUCUCCAAAGCCCGUUCGUUUUUCGUUCCUCUACAGACCGCUGCUCUCUCUCUCUCUCUCUCUCUCUCUCUCUCUCUCUCUCUCUCUCUCUCUCUCUCUCUCUCUCUCUCUCUCUCUCUCUCGCUCUUUCUCUUUCCAUUCAAGAAGAGUUGUGGAAUGCGAGGAAGCGUGGCAACCUCGCCUGCCUUCGACACUUUACUCAGGGAAUAUUUUCUGAGCUUCCAGCACUUCUUCUUUUACUUACCUGUGCACAUUCCAUCGCUGCCGCCGGUCGUGAAAGGAGGACCCUUUCAUAUCUCGCCGCUCGCUCCCGACGCUGAUCUCGGCUUGGGCUACCUCUCCCUUCAUCACCCUCCCCCGCUCUGGUCGUGGAGGAAGCUGCACUACCCUGCCGGUAAAACACCCUCAGUUGCCCGAAACAGGUGAAGAGCUAAGGCGAGAGUGCGUGCUCGCUCCACUUUGGGCAUUCCUGCGCGCCGACCACACCCAUCCGCGAUCGCAGUCAGGUCGCGUCGACCUUUUUCGGCGUUCGGCGUUCUCCGAAAACGCGUUUUCAGUCGGUUCUUUUAUUUCAGCGGCUGGGCAGCGUUGCUGGCUCGACAAUAGCGGUUUUAAUGCAACAGCAGGUACGCCUCCUCCGGUUACACCUACUGUACGAGAGCGGGCAUGAUAAAAUCCAACCAACCUGCUGCUAUAUAUGUACGUAUGUGCUCGCUCGCUUUAGUUAGGCGCCUGAUGGUGGGAAUGGAAUGCUCGUAUCUCGCUUGUAUUUUGUGGGAGGGAUUUAUUUCCACACACACACACACACACACACACACACUCGUUCUCGAAGGCUGUGUCUGUACGAAUGUAAGUACCUACCUGUACAUUUGUCCUUUUAUUCUUUUGCUCGGCAGCGGCAUAAAGACCGAAAUUAAUUCUCGUAAGGAUAAAAAAACACGCUAUUCACAGACCAUGGGAACAUUCGCGCGCUGGGAACUCUCGCUUUCUUUGGGUCUCGCCGCAGCCGGAAAACGGGGGGUGGGCGGCGGCUGGCGGUUGGGAACGCGGGCAGCAUCCACCCCACGCCGGAAUUUUGAUCUGGGUGCCGACCCCCGGCCAGCUUAGCACUCGUCCCGAGGAUAACAGCGAGCGCGCACGGGACCACCCGUGCGCCUUCGUCCAUUUUUUACUCAUAACCGCGGCGGCAGCUCGGUGUGCGGUCCCGGAGCGGUGCCGCCGCGGCAAAAAGCACCAGUUGACACCUCUCGGGGCCGCAGACUCGCGCUUACAGCCAUGUCACAAAGGUAUCGACUGUUGUGUCAAACGUCGGGCUGCAACGGGCAGGGCGCGGCAGAGAGCAGCACUGCCGUCCCGAUGGCCGGCCGGCCGCUGAGCCGACCGGCGAAGAAGGAGCGGGUACACGGACGGAGCCAAUGAACACAUAGGAAUGUCUCUUGAGCUCUCUGCUGAGGAUACAUUCUCACGCUCGGAGAGAUCAGCCAGCCGAGCCGAGCAGCCCAGGCAGGCCGAAAGACUCGCUCGCUCUCUAGCUCGGCGCUCGCUGUUGGGCUGGUCGAGUAGGAGCGCCCACAACUCGUGUGUGUGUGUGCGCGCGUUGUGUGUAUGCCUCCCCUUGGUGCAUCGGUGACUUCGACUCUUUAUUGGGCCGCGCCCUUUACCCUCCAGCCGUCCUUUAAUCUCUGCUCGAGACGCGCUCAAGUUUGCUCGCACGCGGCCUUUGCCGAGUGCUUUGCCCUCUUCUCCAGCGGUGGGCUCUUUUGGGUUUCUUUCGCCCCCGCUCGCCCUCCCAUCACGCUCGCGGGGGUUGCAAAUCUCAAUGGACCAUUGAACAAAUCAUCUAGGCUCUCGAUUCAUAGAGCGGGUGGUGGAAAUAGUUUAAUGUCCUGAACCCCUGCGGCGCACCUCCCUCCGCUAGGGGUGCGCAUUCCCGCAGAGACUUUAAUGCGUGCAGCUACAUUUUUAAAGGAAAAACGAUAAACACCCUGUGUGCCACGUCGGCGGGCCGAAAGUUGGUUUCCCAUAGGUUGUGCGGACAAACAGGAUUCUCCCAUCCGCUUUCCUCCCCCCAAGCUUAGGGGUUGUGUCCUUUUACCCAGGUAGAGAGCUGUGUUCAUUAUUCUCAUAUUGUGCGGCCCCUCAUUUUGCAUUUCUCAGAAACUCUUUUGUGCUGGCGGCUUGAAAAAGCGCGUCGAUGCCCCUUUGUUGCAGGUAAAGUUGGUUUAUUUCCCACCCUGCCAGUCGAGCAGAGCAGAAGAAUCUGGUCGGCUAUGGAAGCAGGCAGGCAGGGUAGGUAGCGCGCGCGCGUUGUUGCUCCGCAAUCUGUACUUCUUGGUUCUUGUGAGCAAGUGCGGCGGCGAUCGGCCACAUAAGCAGCAGCAUUCCUUUCAAGGCAAGGAGGGAUAAAAAGAGAAGAAGUUGUACUUUAGGCUCGUGGGAAUGGACGCAAAACCUACCGGCAGCUCUUUAUCUGCCUAAAUAAGAGAGUGAGCGAGCAAGCAAGAGAAAGAAUCGCCGCCGCACGGCUCAGCAGCAAUGGAUCUCCUCUUCUCGCCGCAUGUUAAUAUAUUGUUUAAAUCCCCCUGCGCGCUCUCUUUCUUGUCUUUUCCUCCCGUGUCCCCCUCGCGUAUGAAUAUUUUUUAUCUCGCAUAAUGCGGUGUGUUGUUAUAUUUUCUUGACUAAUGCGCCGAUCGCCGCCCCUUAAUGUGGUGUUGCGCAGCGGCAGUCUUGUUUCCAGCUUUGUCCGCGGCCAGCGACACUCACCCCUUCUGCACUUGAAUAGAAGAAUUAAGGAGCUGCCGCUACCACUCCUUCCUUGUUAGCAGACCAGGUGGCAUCAUCCCCAGCUCCGGCUGCAGCUCACGAAACUGGCUUUCUCAGUGAUCUUCCAGAUGCAUUUUUAAUUCUGAGAUCAUUGUGAAAG